AACAAUCGGUUUCGAACGCCU
rnacentral:snRNA from 1 species